rnacentral:rRNA from 1 species
CCUACGGGAGGCAGCAGUGGGGAAUCUUGCGCAAUGGGCGAAAGCCUGACGCAGCCAUGCCGCGUGAAUGAUGAAGGUCUUAGGAUUGUAAAAUUCUUUCACCGGGGACGAUAAUGACGGUACCCGGAGAAGAAGCCCCGGCUAACUUCGUGCCAGCAGCCGCGGUAAUACGAAGGGGGCUAGCGUUGCUCGGAAUUACUGGGCGUAAAGGGAGCGUAGGCGGAUAGUUUAGUCAGAGGUGAAAGCCCAGGGCUCAACCUUGGAAUUGCCUUUGAUACUGGCUAUCUUGAGUACGGAAGAGGUAUGUGGAACUCCGAGUGUAGAGGUGAAAUUCGUAGAUAUUCGGAAGAACACCAGUGGCGAAGGCGACAUACUGGUCCGUUACUGACGCUGAGGCUCGAAAGCGUGGGGAGCAAACAGGAUUAGAUACCCUGGUAGUCCACGCUGUAAACGAUGAGUGCUAGUUGUCGGCAUGCAUGCAUGUCGGUGACGCAGCUACGCAUAAGACACUCCGCCGUCGGGAGGUACGGUCGGCGAAGAAUUAAAACUUAAAAUAGUAAGUUAGUACGGCGUGAGACGUACCGAACGACGACGACGAGGGAGAGG